rnacentral:lncRNA from 1 species
GAAAGCGGAUGGAAGACUAGCCCGGUGCUGUCCUCUGAACUCUCUGUGAUGCAGGGACCGUUGGACAGCUGUCAUGACCACUGAGGCAGCCUCAUGCCUCCCACAGUCCCAAGGAAAUAGCCUGGGAAUGGGGUGAGGGGUGCUCUGGAGAGAGAUCCAGCCAGGGUCGUUUCUUUGGCCAGCAUCCUGGGGUCUCAGGCAGACAGCUUCUGCGAUUGGCGCCUCAGUUUCCUCUUCUGCAGAAUGGGGUUAUUACAACUGUUUCCGCCUCUCUAGAACAUUAGACCUGCGACACCUGCUGUCUCCCGGCCCAGUCCCCUCCCUCGCAGAAGCCAUGGCCUGAGAGUUCUCGUGGCAGAGGCAGGCCCUAGCUCCUAGUCCCCAGCUUUUUGACCACAGCACGCUGCUAGUAGGGGCGCUGUAGGACUCCAACAUGAAAGGAGAGAGGCAGAUCUUUGAAACGUCCGAACUCUCGAGGCCUCUGAACCCGCUGGCACCGUGGUAGCUGCCGACACUGUAGGCUCAGAACUGAGCGUUGAGGUCUGGCCUCCAGGUGAAGCUCAGAAGGUAGACGUAGAAGAGGCCUUAUUUGUGCUGUUGCUCCGCACGCUCGGCCCGGCACACAUCUCUGCAGUCAGCGUCGGCCCCAGACGUCAGCUCCACAAAGGACGGUGCUGGCUUUCUUGGCUGAAGCAGGAGCAGAGCUGGAAGAACCUUAGGAUGCCGUCAACCUUGCACCUCAACGGCUUCUGUCCCCCGACAGACGGAAGAGACUCCCAGGUAGGAAGAGGCUUGCUCAAGGUCAUGCGCUUGUCAGCAGCAUGUUUGGAACUGAAAUUGUGGAUGUCUAGUUCAGCCAGUCAUCACUCAGUGGACUUUUAAUGAGUGUCUAGUACAUGCCAGGGGCUGUGUCAGCCAAGGGCCCUGUGGAGAAUAAGAAGAGGGACCGGCGCUGUGGCGCAGUGGGUUAAAGCCGUGGCCUGAAGCGCCGGCAUCCCAUAUGGGCACUGGUUCUAGUCCCGGCUGCUCCUCUUCCAAUCCAGCUCUCUGCUAUAGCCUGGGAUAGCAGUAGAGGAUGGCCCAAAUCUUUGGGCCCCUGCACCCACAUGAGAAACCCAGAAGAAGCUCCUGGAUCCUGGCUUUGGAUCGGCACAGCUCUGACUGUUGAGACCAUCUGGGGAAUGAACCAGCGGAUGGAAGACCUCUCUCUCUCUGUCUCUACCUCUCUCUGUAACUCUGUCUUUCAAAUAAAUAAAAUAAAUAUUUAAAAAAGAGAGAGAGA